AUUGAACGCUAGCGGGAUGCUUUACACAUGCAAGUCGAACGAGUGGCGGACGGGUGAGUAAUAUCUCGGAACGUGCCCAGUAGCGGGGGAUAACUACUCGAAAGAGUGGCUAAUACCGCAUACUAUUGGAUCUGCCGAUAUCGGAUUAGCUAGUUGGUGGGGUAAAGGCUCACCAAGGCAACGAUCCGUAGCUGGUCUGAGAGGACGACCAGCCACACUGGGACUGAGACACGGCCCAGACUCCUACGGGAGGCAGCAGUGGGGAAUUUUGGACAAUGGGCGAAACCCUGAUCCAGCCAUCCCGCGUGUAUGAGAAGGCCUUCGGGUUGUAAAGUACUUUUGGCAGGGAGGCGGUACCUGCAGAAUAAGCACCGGCUAACUACGUGCCAGCAGCCGCGGUAAUAC
rnacentral:rRNA from 1 species